CAGUGUAUUGGUAGCUGUUAAGCCAAGGGCGGUAGCGUA
rnacentral:ncRNA from 2 species